rnacentral:lncRNA from 1 species
UUGACUCAGGUCUUAGAACAACGUUUCGUAUUCGCUCGUAGUGAGCAGGUUGACGUUGUUGGAUAGUCGGAGUUUUUCGUUUCAAGUCUACGUAAAUAGACUCUAGAUUAAAGUAGUGUUGACUCGAGUCUCUUCUACGUGAACCUUCGACGUAGUCGAAUCGGUUACUGGUGUGCGGACCUAGGUUGAGUGGACCUAGAAGUUCUGAGUGUUGAUGUAUUAUCUCAAAUUUGGUAAUAUUUGGGAUCAGAAAUCCUAACCGUGGGACUGUUUUUGUCCACAGGUUAUAGGAUGGUAUUCAUUCUGAUGAGUUUUGGUCCGUAGACCUUGGUUUGGUACGUUUCCCUCGUCUUGUUUUUGUGGAACCGUAGUCCUAUUCUCCCCUUUUCAGAGGUUGAUCUGUCCAAUUCUAGAAUUGUGACUGACCAGUAUCCAAAGGUGUUACCGCAUUGGUGGAGCAAUGUCAGAGUUCGAGUACGGUGGGUACAUGGUCAAGUUUCGGGGACGAAACUUCUUUUAAGGGGGG